rnacentral:rRNA from 1 species
GACGUAGGGGGCCAGCGUUGUUCGGAAUUACUGGGUGUAAAGGGUUCGUAGGCGGUGCGGCAAGUCGGGAGUGAAAUCUCUGGGCUUAACCCAGAGGCUGCUUCCGAAACUGCUGUGCUUGAGUGUGGGAGAGGCGCGUGGAAUUGCAGGUGUAGCGGUGAAAUGCGUAGAUAUCUGCAGGAACACCCGUGGCGAAAGCGGCGCGCUGGACCACUACUGACGCUGAGGAACGAAAGCUAGGGGAGCAAACAGG